AAAAUUUUAAGUUAUAAAGACUAUUAGCCUUCAAAGCUAAACGAGAGAAAGAAGUCUCAAAUUUUA